rnacentral:rRNA from 1 species
GAUGAACGCUCGCUCCAGGCUUAACACAUGCAAGUCGAGGGGAAACGACAUCGAAAGCUUGCUUUUGAUGGGCGUCGACCGGCGCACGGGUGAGUAACGCGUAUCCAACCUGCCCACCACUUGGGGAUAACCUUGCGAAAGUAAGACUAAUACCCAAUGACGUCUCUAGAAGACAUCUGAAAGAGAUUAAAGAUUUAUCGGUGAUGGAUGGGGAUGCGUCUGAUUAGCUUGUUGGCGGGGUAACGGCCCACCAAGGCGACGAUCAGUAGGGGUUCUGAGAGGAACGUCCCCCACAUUGGAACUGAGACACGGUCCAAACUCCUACGGGAGGCAGCAGUGAGGAAGAUUGGGCAAUGGACGAGAGUCUGAACCAGCCAAGUAGCGUGCAGGAUGACGGCCCUAUGGGUUGUAAACUGCUUUUAUAAGGGAAUAAAGUGAGUCUCGGGAGACUUUUUGCAUGUACCUGAUGAAUAAGGACCGGCUAAUUCCGUG